UACGUAGGUGGCAAGCGUUGUCCGGAUUUACUGGGCGUAAAGAGCGCGCAGGCGGUCGUUCAAGUCGCGUGUGAAAGCCCCCGGCUCAACUGGGGAGGGUCACGCGAUACUGAUCGACUCGAAGGCAGGAGAGGGUAGUGGAAUUCCCGGUGUAGUGGUGAAAUGCGUAGAUAUCGGGAGGAACACCAGUGGCGAAGGCGACUACCUGGCCCAUUCUUGACGCUGAGGCGCGAAAGCUAGGGGAGCGAACGGG
rnacentral:rRNA from 1 species